CAUAAUUUGCAGAGUUCCUGGCUUUUAUUAUUGCAUUGCAUAUAGUCUCAGCCAAGCUCUAAGAGACUAUACAGCCCCUGGCUGGAAUCGGAUUCAAUGCUGUAGUGCAGAGCUCAAAACUGGUUGAGGAAAUCUGAAAGACCAGUUACUGAGAGACCAGAAUGAAUCAGUAGAGUGAGUGUGGUUCUUCAGCUGAAGAGGCAAGAUGGAGAGGAAGGCAUAAAUUGGUUAAUUUCUACUUCAUCCUAUAAAGAACAGAUUCAAAAGGAAUGUAUAAAAAUUCUAACAGUAUCUGAAAAUGUCAAGAGGAUACACACCAGCCUCCUAAAUGACCUACAUCACACAUAUGAUGAUUGGAACCAUUGUAGCUAUGGAACCAAGGUCCUUAGGAUCUGAACAUGG
rnacentral:lncRNA from 1 species